rnacentral:rRNA from 1 species
UACAGAGGGUGCAAGCGUUACUCGGAAUUACUGGGCGUAAAGCGUGCGUAGACGGUUGUGUAAGUCGGAUGUGAAAGCCCCGGGCUCAACCUGGGAAUGGCAUUCGAGACUGCAUAGCUAGGAUGCGGAAGAGGGAAGUGGAAUUUCCGGUGUAGCGGUGAAAUGCGUAGAUAUCGGAAGGAACACCAGUGGCGAAAGCGACUUCCUGGUCCAGCAUCGACGUUCAGGCACGAAAGCGUGGGGAGCAAACAGG